rnacentral:rRNA from 1 species
GACGAACCGUGCGAACGUUAUUCGGAAUCACUGGGCUUAAAGCGCGUGUAGGCGGGACGGCACGUCGGUCGCUGAAAUCCCCCGGCUCAACCGGGGAACGGGCGCCGAUACGACCGCCCUGGAGGGACGUAGGGGGACCUGGAACUUCCGGUGGAGCGGUGAAAUGCGUUGAGAUCGGAAAGAACACCAACGGCGAAAGCACUCUGCUGGGCCGACACUGACACUGAGAGACGAAAGCUAGGGGAGCGAAUGGG